GGAUUACAAGGCGUUUGAUGAUUUAAACGAAAGGAAUUUGAACGCAGGUGUAAGAUAGAAAGCGUGUGACAGCAGUCGUUCUAAUAUAUGAUAUCAUUGAUCCUCAAAACGGAAAAGGACAUCGUUAGUCACAAGGCAUGGAUACGCCGGCAUUCUGUGCAAAGGUAGCCGCUGCGCUAUAGGUCCUCCAGGCGGCGGAAGAGCUUCGAUUGCACCUUGGUCUCCGCCUCCCAGACGCGACAAAAAACCUAACGCAGACUACCGACAGGAGUGUCCAAAACAGCAUUCCUCCAACCUUCACAAAUAUGUUAGAAAAGCUUUAGUUACAACAAUGUGGGUACAUGUGCACCGUACAUUUCUCAAUUUGGACCGAUUUUGGUGCGGAGGUUGUAGCGUAAAGCGUUUAAUGGGAAAUUAUAAUUGAAAAACAUAAGUGUUAAGUUUCAAACCACAAAAACGUUGAUUAAAUAAAACUAGA